UGACCAUCACUUCACCAUCUCAUUUUCUCACUCCAUCAGAAACCACACAACACUGGUAUGCUCUUCUUCUCUUCUUCGUCUUCUUCUUCUUCUCUCUCUCUCCCUCUACCUCAAAAGGCAUAUAGAAGAGGGAGAGCAAGAGUGAGAGACGACGGGCGGAAGCUCCACCUUCGCAAGCGCCACUGCGGCCCAGCGCCACCUUUGCACAAGAGGGCAUCAAAUCGGUAUUGGGACAUCGAUCAGAAUACCCUCCAAUCUCGUGAAAAGUCUGCAAUUAGUAGUUGUAAAAUAAGAAUUACGGGCAAAAAUCUCUCACACGCAAGGAUGGAGUGGGGAAUAAGGUUUUGACUUGUAUGAUGCCAUGCCAUGCCAUGCCAUUGCUUUAAUUGAUAUUUAUUUUUGCUUCAAUCCAAGUUUCCAAUCCAGAUUGGCAAUGGAUAGAACAUAGUUCGGGGAGCAUCAAAGGAUUAUAUUUUGAAUUUUUGGAUAUAUUUUGUCAUAAGUUUUUGUUAUGAAUUUGCAAGCUUGGAAGUUUUUUUGGAAUUACAUGUUUGAAGUCUGGGAUUGUAAGGGAUUUGUACUGAUGUUGGAUGUUUUGGAUUUGAUAUUUUGCUUAUGUUUAUAGGUUUAUGAAUUAUGUACUGAAUAGGGAAAUUGUAAAAAAAAAAAAAAUUAUAAUAAUGAAUUUUUGGUGACAGGUUUUUCAGUUGUAAAUUU